GCGCCGGGCCCCGUGCCACCGACACCUGUCUGCAGUGCCACAACAACACCCAGGUGAGUGUUACCUGGGCACAGGUGUGUUACCUGGGUGCCAGGUGAGUUACCUGCGCCUGCAACGGGCACAGCGACUGCGCCGGGCCGCAUGCAACGGACACCUGUCUGCAGUGCCACAACAACACCCAGGUGAGUGCCAGGUGUGCCCAGGUGAGUGCCAGGUGUGCCCAGGUGAGUGUUACCUGGGUGCCAGGUGUGCCCAGGUGUGUUACCUGGGUGGGCACAGCGACUGCGCCGGGCCGCAUGCAACCGACACCUGUCUGCAGUGCCACAACAACACCCAGGUGAGUGUUACCUGGGCACAGGUGAGUGCCAGGUGUGUUACCUGGGUGCCAGGUGUGUUACCUGGGCGGGCACAGCGACUGCGCCGGGCCGCAUGCAACGGACACCUGUCUGCAGUGCCACAACAACACCCAGGUGAGUGGUACCUGGGCACAGGUGUGUUACCUGGGUGGGUGCCCGACUGCGGCGUUACCUGCGCCUGCAACGGGCACAGCGACUGCGCCGGGCCCCGCGCCACCGACACCUGUCUGCAGUGCCACAACAACACCCAGGUGAGUGCCAGGUGAGUGCCAGGUGUGUUACCUGGGUGCCAGGUGUGUUACCUGGGUGCCAGGUGAGUUACCUGGGUGCCAGGUGGGGUUACCUGGGUGCCAGGUGGGGUUACCUGGGUGCCAGGUGUGUUACCUGGGUGCCAGGUGGGGUUACCUGGGUGCCAGGUGUGCCAGGUGUGUUACCUGGGUGCCAGGUGAGUGCCAGGUGGAUUACCUGGGUGCCAGGUGUGCCAGGUGGGGUUACCUGGGUGCCAGGUGUGUUACCUGGGUGCCAGGUGUGUUACCCGGGUGCCAGGUGGGGUUACCUGGGUGCCAGGUGUGCCAGGUGUGUUACCUGGGUGCCAGGUGAGUGCCAGGUGGAUUACCUGGGUGCCAGGUGUGCCAGGUGGGGUUAGCUGGGUGCCAGGUGUGUUACCUGGGUGCCAGGUGUGCCCAGGUGGGGUUACCUGGGUGCCAGGUGUGUUACCCGGGUGCCAGGUGUGUUACCUGGGUGCCAGGUGGGUGCCAGGUGGGGUUACCUGGGUGCCAGGUGGGGUUACCUGUACCACACCUGUGCACACCUGCAGGGCCCGCAGUGCCAGCGCUGCCGCCCGCUGUUCGUGGGCACCGCCCUCGGGGGGGGCACCUGCCUCACCUGUAACACACCUGUGACACACCUGUAACACACCUGUGCACACCUGUAACACACCUGUGCACACCUGUACCACACCUGUGCACACCUGUAACACACCUGUGCACACCUGUAACACACCUGUAACACACCUGUACCACACCUGUGCACACCUGCAGGGCCCGCAGUGCCAGCGCUGCCGCCCGCUGUUCGUGGGCACCGCCCUCGGGGGGGGCACCUGCC
rnacentral:lncRNA from 1 species